UACAGAGGGUGCAAGCGUUAAUCGGAGUUACUGGGCGUAAAGCGUGCGUAGACGGUCAUGUAAGUCGGGUGUGAAAGCCCCGGGCUCAACCUGGGAAUUGCAUUCGAGACUGCAUGGCUAGGAUGCGGAAGAGGGAAGUGGAAUUUCCGGUGUAGCGGUGAAAUGCGUAGAUAUCGGAAGGAACACCAGUGGCGAAAGCGGCUUCCUGGUCCAGCAUCGACGUUCAGGCACGAAAGCGUGGGGAGCAAACAGG
rnacentral:rRNA from 1 species